GCAUCGAUAGCUCAGUGGCAGAACGGUGGGGCGUUGUCCCAUGCGGCCCGGGAUCGAGCCCCGAUCGAAGCA